rnacentral:pre_miRNA from 1 species
AAAAUACUCCCUCCGUCCGGAAAUACUUGUCAUCAAAAUGAAUAAAAGGAGAUGUAUCUAGAUGUAUUUUAGUUCUAGAUACAUCCCUUUUUAUCCAUUUUGAUGACAAGUAUUUUCGGACGGAGGGAGUAACAU